GACGAACGCUGGCGGCGUGCUUAACACAUGCAAGUCGAGCGGUAAGGCUCCUUCGGGAGUACACGAGCGGCGAACGGGUGAGUAACACGUGAGUAACCUGCCCCAUUCAUCGGAAUAACCAGUGGAAACGCUGGCUAAUGCCGAAUACGACCACCGAAGGCAUCUUCUGGUGGUGGAAAGCUCCGGCGGAGUGGGAUGGACUCGCGGCCUAUCAGCUUGUUGGUGAGGUAACGGCUCACCAAGGCGACGACGGGUAGCCGGCCUGAGAGGGUGACCGGCCACACUGGGACUGAGGCACGGCCCAGACUCCUACGGGAGGCAGCAGUGGGGAAUAUUGGACAAUGGGCGAAAGCCUGAUCCAGCAACGCCGCGUGAGGGAUGACGGCCUUCGGGUUGUAAACCUCUUUCAGCAGGGACGAAGCGAAAGUGACGGUACCUGCAGAAGAAGGACCGGCCAACUACGUG
rnacentral:rRNA from 1 species